rnacentral:misc_RNA from 1 species
GCUGUGGUUGCCUCUGAAGGUGAUCUUGAAAAGGCAGCAGAAAGUUUAAGAGAACUCAAGCUGGAUCCACCUGCUGCUCCCCUGAAGUCUGAUGAAGAAACUGGCGAUCCUCCAGUAGUUAGUAAUGGUAAACUUUCAGUUGCAGUUAGCCAGAAUGUGUUGGGGCAACAAGCACAGAAGCCCAAUCUACCUUCUAUGAUACAACAAAGAAGAGAUGACAGGGAUUUUAAUUACACAAAGACAUCUCUGCCAGUUGCAGAAUCUCCAGAAUCUGGGAAUAAAAAUCUGCAGCCUUUGAAGAGAAUACAGCCAAAGAUGGAGUGGGCAAAACCACAGCAAACUGCUGUGCUUGCUGAGAAAAGAUGGCCAAAUGCUGGAUCAAGUCCUUCUGUUUCUUAUUCUUUGGCAUCAUCUUUGCAAGUCUCAACUCCGCCAUCCAAGACAGAAGCACGUUUUGU